UACAAGGUAUUCCCCUAGUACGGCGAGUUCCAGCGGGAAGAGAUCAAAUUUAAAAUCUGGCAGGCUACGCUUGUCCGAAUUGUAAUCUCGAGAAGUGUUUUCCGCGUUGUUUCUGCGUACAAGUCCCUUGAAACAGGGCGUCAUAGAGGGUGAGAAUCCCGUCCUUGACACAGACACCCAAUGCUUUGUGAUACACUCUCAAUGAGUCGAGUUGUUUGGGAAUGCAGCUCAAAAUGGGUGGUAAAUUCCAUCUAAAGCUAAAUACUGGCGAGAGACCGAUAGCGAACAAGUACCGUGAGGGAAAGAUGAAAAGCACUUUGGAAAGAGAGUCAAACAGUACGUGAAAUUGUUGAAAGGGAAACGAUUGAAGUCAGUCGUGCCUGCCUAGAUUCAGCCUUCUGGUGUAUUUCUAGGUCGGCAGGUCAGCAUCAGUUUGGGGGGGUUAACAAGGGAGCUGGGAAUGUGGCAACCUCGGUUGUGUUAUAGCCCAGUUUCGCAUUGAUCUCGCUGGACUGAGGAACGCAGUGCGCCCGCAAGGNUUGGUCUUCGGACACAUUCGCACUUAGGAUGCUGGCAUAAUGGCUUUAACGACCCGUCUUGNAAACACGGACCAAU
rnacentral:rRNA from 1 species